GGUGAGGUGCCGGAGUGGUCUAACGGGCUCGCUUGGAAAGCGUGUGUAGUCGCAAGGCUACCGUGGGUUCGAAUCCCACCCUCACCGCCA
rnacentral:tRNA from 1 species